GACGAACGCUGGCGGCGUGCUUAACACAUGCAAGUCGAACGAAGUGGCGAACGGGUGAGUAAUACGUGAGUAACCUGCCCUCCUUUGUGGGAUAAGCCUUGGAAACGGGGUCUAAUACCGAAUAAAGGGGGAUGGGCUCGCGGCCUAUCAGCUUGUUGGUGGGGUGAUGUCUUACCAAGGCGUCGAGGGGUAGCCGGCCUGAGAGGGUGACCGGCCACAUUGGGCCUGAGAUACGGCCCAGACUCCUACGGUAGGCAGCAGUGGGGGAUAUUGCACAAUGGGCGAAAGCCUGAUGCAGCGACGCCGCGUGGGGGAUGAAGGCUUUCGGGUUGUAAAGCUCUGUUGUUAAGGAAGGAGGACUUAACCAGAAAGGGACGGCUAACUACGUGCCAGCAGCCGCGGUAAUAC
rnacentral:rRNA from 1 species